CACAUACUCCCUCCAUCCCAAAAUUCUUGUCUUAGAUUUGUCUAGAUACGGAUGUAUCUAAUACUAAAAUGUGACUUGAUACAUCCGUAUCUAGACAAAUUUAAGACAAGAAUUUUGGGACGGAGAGAGUACUGU
rnacentral:pre_miRNA from 1 species